rnacentral:tRNA from 1 species
GCUUACUUAGCUCAGUUGGUUAGAGCGCGACUUUCAUAAGGUCGAGGUCGACGGUUCGAUCCCGUCAGUGAGCA